GGGCUCGUAGGUGGUUGAUCGCGUCGGAAGUGUAAUCUUGGGGCUUAACCCUGAGCGUGCUUUCGAUACGGGUUGACUUGAGGAAGGUAGGGGAGAAUGGAAUUCCUGGUGGAGCGGUGGAAUGCGCAGAUAUCAGGAGGAACACCAGUGGCGAAGGCGGUUCUCUGGGCCUUUCCUGACGCUGAGGAGCGAAAGCGUGGGGAGCGAACAGGC
rnacentral:rRNA from 1 species